GACGAACGCUGGCGGCGUGCUUAACACAUGCAAGUCGAACGCUGAAGCUUGGUGCUUGCACUGGGUGGAUGAGUGGCGAACGGGUGAGUAAUACGUGAGUAACCUGCCCUUGACUCUGGGAUAAGCCUGGGAAACUGGGUCUAAUACUGGAUAUGACAUGUCACCGCAUGGUGGCGUGUGGAAAGGGUUUUACUGGUUUUGGAUGGGCUCACGGCCUAUCAGCUUGUUGGUGGGGUAAUGACUCACCAAGGCGACGACGGGUAGCCGGCCUGAGAGGGUGACCGGCCACACUGGGACUGAGACACGGCCCAGACUCCUACGGGAGGCAGCAGUGGGGAAUAUUGCACAAUGGGCGAAAGCCUGAUGCAGCGACGCCGCGUGAGGGAUGACGGCCUUCGGGUUGUAAACCUCUUCAGCACGGAAAGAAAGCGAAAAGUGAACGGUAACGUGCAGAAGAA
rnacentral:rRNA from 1 species